GCAGUCGAGGGGUAUGGUUCUUCGGACCAGAGACCGGCGCACGGGUGCGUAACGCGUAUGCAAUCUACCUUUUACAGAGGGAUAGCCCAGAGAAAUUUGGAUUAAUACCUCAUAGCAUAGCAGCUUCGCAUGAAGUCACUAUUAAAGUCACAACGGUAAAAGAUGAGCAUGCGUCCCAUUAGCUAGUUGGUAAGGUAACGGCUUACCAAGGCUACGAUGGGUAGGGGUCCUGAGAGGGAGAUCCCCCACACUGGUACUGAGACGCGGACCAGACUCCUACGGGAGGCAGCAGUGAGGAAUAUUGGACAAUGGGCGCAAGCCUGAUCCAGCCAUGCCGCGUGCAGGAUGACGGUCCUAUGGAUUGUAAACUGCUUUUGUACAGGAAGAAACAGUUCUACGUGUAGAACCUUGACGGUACUGUAAGAAUAAGGAUCGGCUAACUCCGUGCCAGCAGCCGCGGUAAUACGGAGGAUCCAAGCGUUAUCCGGAAUCAUUGGGUUUAAAGGGUCCGUAGGCGGUUUAGUAAGUCAGUGGUGAAAGCCCAUCGCUCAACGGUGGAACGGCCAUUGAUACUGCUAGACUUGAAUUAUUAGGAAGUAACUAGAAUAUGUAGUGUAGCGGUGAAAUGCUUAGAGAUUACAUGGAAUACCAAUUGCGAAGGCAGGUUACUACUAAUGGAUUGACGCUGAUGGACGAAAGCGUGGGUAGCGAACAGGAUUAGAUACCCUGGUAGUCCACGCCGUANACGAUGGAUACUAGCUGUUGGGCGCAAGCUCAGUGGCUAAGCGAAAGUGAUAAGUAUCCCACCUGGGGAGUACGUUCGCAAGAAUGAAACUCAAAGGAAUUGACG
rnacentral:rRNA from 1 species